rnacentral:rRNA from 1 species
UACGAAGGGGGCUAGCGUUGUUCGGAUUUACUGGGCGUAAAGCGCACGUAGGCGGAUCGUUAAGUCGGGGGUGAAAUCCUGGAGCUCAACUCCAGAACUGCCUUCGAUACUGGCGAUCUUGAGUCCGGAAGAGGUGAGUGGAACUCCUAGUGUAGAGGUGGAAUUCGUAGAUAUUAGGAAGAACACCGGUGGCGAAGGCGGGUCUCUGGGCCGAAACUGACGCUGAGGAGCGAAAGCGUGGGGAGCAAACAGG